rnacentral:rRNA from 1 species
GAUGAACGCUGGCGGCGUGCCUAAUACAUGCAAGUCGAGCGAACGGACUAGAAGCUUGCUUUUCUGAUGUUAGCGGCGGACGGGUGAGUAACACGUGGAUAACCUACCUAUAAGACUGGGAUAACUUCGGGAAACCGGUGCUAAUACCGGAUAAUAUUUUUAACCGCAUGUUUCAAAAGUGAAAGACGGUCUUGCUGUCACUUAUAGAUGUACCCGCUCUGCAUUAGAUCGUUGGUAAGGUAACGCCUUACCAAGGCAACGAUGCAUAGCCGACCUGAGAGGGUGAGCGGCCACACUGGAACUGAGACACGGUCAAGACUCCUACGGGAGGCAGCAGUAGGGAAUCUUCCGCAAUGGGAGAAAGCCUGACGGAGCAACGCCGCGUGAGUGAUGAAGGUCUUCGGAUCGUAAAACUCUGUUAUGAGGGAAGAACAGAUGUGUAAGUAAAUGUGAACAUCUUGACGGUACCUAAUCAGAAAGCCACGGCUAACUACGU